rnacentral:tRNA from 1 species
UAGCUCAGAUGGUAAAGCAUCUGACUACAAUGCAGGAGACCCAGGUUCAAUCCCUGG